rnacentral:rRNA from 1 species
AACGAACGCUGGCGGCAUGCCUAACACAUGCAAGUCGAACGAGACCUUCGGGUCUAGUGGCGCACGGGUGCGUAACGCGUGGGAACCUGCCCUUAGGUUCGGAAUAACUCCCCGAAAGGGGUGCUAAUACCGGAUAAUGUCUUCGGACCAAAGAUUUAUCGCCUUUGGAUGGGCCCGCGUUGGAUUAGCUAGUUGGUAGGGUAAAAGCCUACCAAGGCGACGAUCCAUAGCUGGUCUGAGAGGAUGAUCAGCCACACUGGGGCUGAGACACGGCCCAGACUCCUACGGGAGGCAGCAGUGGGGAAUAUUGGACAAUGGGCGAAAGCCUGAUCCAGCAAUGCCGCGUGAGUGAUGAAGGCCUUAGGGUUGUAGAGCUCUUUUACCCGGGAUGAUAAUGACAGUACCGGGAGAAUAAGCUCCGGCUAACUCCGUG